GUGAAAGAGCCGUCCUUUUCCUUGCUUCCGUUUCCAUCCAAUCAGCAAGUCUUUGCCGGUCUCUCUGGCCUCCAGGCACAUCUGCUCUCAAAGACACUUCAAUCCCUUGAUGCAGCAGUCAGCAUGUGUGUGUCCCCAGUACUCCAUCAAACGGCUCGUUUCUGCCCCGAGAGCACUGAUGGCUGCUUCCACGGUGCACAGACUAUUAAUUUGCACCAAAUACAUGCAGAAUCUGCUGAGAAACAGACUGAAUGUACUUGAGUGAGUGCAUCUGCUGCAAAAAAAGGCAGACAUAUGCCCUCCUGAGAGUUGUGGACUGUGCCUGGAUGUGUGGAGUACCGGAGCUGAUCAGACUGUGUCAGAGACCUGCUGAGAAAUAGAUUACAGUCAGACCAAAGGAACCCAAAGCCUGGUAGCAAACCAUAGCACAGCAGGUCCCGACAGUGCUGGGAGGGCAACCUCAGCAUAUUAAGGUUGGGACUCUUCGAUUGGUGAGAAGGAGGCAACCCUCGAGAGCGAGAGGUGCACUGUCCACUUACAAGUCACUCGACCAGGAAUCCAACACAAGCUUCCUGUAAGGCGCAUCAAGAUCAAGUGAACAAAGGCAAAUAUGCAAGAGGACUGAUGCACCAAAUGACUAGUAAGCCAAUUCUCAAAGAACUAUUAUGAUUAUUUUUUUCCACACGCUCACAUGAUAGAAGUAAUUGCGCUGUCCAAUCUAUUAAGACUGUG